AUUGAACGCUGGCGGCAGGCCUAACACAUGCAAGUCGAACGAGUGGCGGACGGGUGAGUAAUGUCUGGGAAACUGCCUGAUGGAGGGGGAUAACUACUGGAAACGGUAGAUAAUACCGCAUACCAUCGGAUGUGCCCAGAUGGGAUUGGCUAGUAGGUGGGGUAACGGCUCACCUAGGCGACGAUCCCUAGCUGGUCUGAGAGGAUGACCAGCCACGCUGGAGCUGUGACACGGUCCACACCCCUACGGGAGGCAGCAGGGGGGAAUAUUGCACAAUGGGCGCAAGCCUGAUGCAGCCAUGCCGCGUGUAUGAAGAAGGCCUUCGGGUUGUAAAGUACUUUCAGCGGGCAGGCGUUACCAACAGAAUAAGCACCGGCUAACUUCGUGCCAGCCGCCGCGGUAAUAC
rnacentral:rRNA from 1 species